AACGUACGCUGGCGGCACGCCUAACACAUGCAAGUCGAACGAAGUAGCAAUACUUAGUGGCAGACGGGUGAGUAACAUGUGGGUAUCUGCCCUUUGGCCUGGAAUAACACGAGGAAACUUGUGCUAAUACCGGAUAAGUCUUUACGGAGAAAGCUUUAUGCACCAUUGGAUGAGCCCGCACUUGAUUAGUUUGUUGGUGGGGUAAUGGCCUACCAAGACUGUGAUCAAUAGCUGAUUUGAGAGGAUGAUCAGCCACAUUGGGACUGAGACACGGCCCAAACUCCUACGGGAGGCAGCAGUGGGGAAUCUUGCACAAUGGAGGAAACUCUGAUGCAGCGAUGCCGCGUGAGUGAAGAAGGCCCUUGGGUUGUAAAGCUCUUUCGUCGGGGAAGAAAAUGACUGUACCCGAAUAAGAAGGUCCGGCUAACUUCGUGCCAGCAGCCGCGGUAAUACGAAGGGACCUAGCGUAGUUCGGAAUUACUGGGCUUAAAGAGUUCGUAGGUGGUUGAAAAAGUUAGUGGUGAAAUCCCAGAGCUUAACUCUGGAACUGCCAUUAAAACUUUUCAGCUAGAGUAUGAUAGAGGAAAGCAGAAUUUCUAGUGUAGAGGUGAAAUUCGUAGAUAUUAGAAAGAAUACCAAUUGCGAAGGCAGCUUUCUGGAUCAUUACUGACACUGAGGAACGAAAGCAUGGGUAGCGAAGAGGAUUAGAUACCCUCGUAGUCCAUGCCGUAAACGAUGUGUGUUAGACGUUGGAAAUUUAUUUUCAGUGUCGCAGCGAAAGCGACAAACACACCGCCUGGGGAGUACGACCGCAAGGUUAAAACUCAAAUGAAUUGACGGGGACCCGCACAAGUAGUGGAGCAUGUGGUUUAAUUCGAAGAUACGCGCAGAACCUUACCAACACUUGACAUGUUCGUCGCGACUCUAAGAGAUUAGAGUUUUCGGUUCGGCCGGACGAAACACAGGUGCUGCAUGGCUGUCGUCAGCUCGUGUCGUGAGAUGUUGGGUUAAGUCCCGCAACGAGCGCAACCCUCACUUUUAGUUGCCAUCAUUAAGUUGGGCACUCUGAAAGAACUGCCAGUGAUAAGCUGGAGGAAGGUGGGGAUGACGUCAAGUCCUCAUGGCCCUUACGUGUUGGGCUACACACGUGCUACAAUGGUAUCUACAACAGGAAGCAAGACUGCGAGGUCAAGCAAAUCCUUAAAAGAUACCUCAGUUCGGAUUGCACUCUGCAACUCGAGUGCAUGAAGCUGGAAUUACUAGUAAUCGUGGAUCAGCGUGCCACGGUGAAUGCGUUCCCGGGUCU
rnacentral:rRNA from 1 species